CAUGAGGUAAAAGGGGCAGAGGGACGGCCUGCCUCGCUCUCUUGCUGCUUUGCUUCCCUUGGCCUGCCAGGAAUCGCUUCUCCUCGGCAGUGCCGCCCCGCCUCGGAACUAGCCGUGUAAGGGCUGAACCUCUACAAACUGUGAGCUAAAGAAACCUGUCCUCCUUUAACUUUGGAUGGCAGGUGUUUCGUCUCAGCAAGGAGAGAAGAAUUAAGACGAGUUCGUUCUAUUUACGCAGCACUAGUGUAGAACAGGGCUACGGAAUAAAAGACGAAAUGAAGUGCUCUUCCCUACUGAGGUUAAAUUCACUUUACCAAUACAAUUUCCAUUUUUCUAAGGUUUGUCCUUCUGGUUCUCACUGGCCAAAGAAGGUGGAGAGUGUGGACAGGGGUAUGCCCAGUCCUGGGCUGGGCUGGUCCGUGAGCUGCCCGAGAGCCACACGGCCUGUAGACGGCUACUCAGCCAAAUGGGUCCUGACCACAUGUGAAAGAAAAGCAGAGCAGGGAGGGAGUGAGGCAGGAGUGAAGAAGUCCUCGGGAUGGCUGCCGUAUUGGCGUCUGGCGAACCCUGCAAAGUGUCCUCCACGCAUUCCAGGGCCUGAGGAGGGCCCAUGUCUCUCUUCAGUAGGCUUGAGAGAGAUCAGGAGGUAUAACCUUCCCUGCAGGAAUUCAGUACCCGCUGAGGUGAAUUAAAAUCGGACUUACUUGACAAGCGCUGUGACAGGCAGACUUCAGCUGUGAUCCGCCUCCUGUGAAGGCAAGGAUGGCCACGUGCGCCGCAGUAUCACGCUUCUAGGCGCUUCCUCCGCCUCUCUCCACUGAGCUUCCCCAGAACGCUGUGCAAGACCAGACCGGGACGGGACGGGAGCGCGUGCGUCCGUGUACUUUCCACUGAGUAGGAAGAGUAAGCAGCUAGGCAACUCGCUGGAAACUCCCUUCCUCUCGGGCAAAGGUGCUAAACUGAAGAGCAAAGGAAAUCCGAAAAAUAAAUAUCACUUCUCAAUUGCAGUUCGUUUUCCUCUCUCUACUUUUCUUUCAUACUCACUUAAAGCAGUGCUACAGGCCAGAGGAAAAGAAUUUCUUAAGCAAGGAAAGUUUGAAAAUUCAAAAUCAGGUUACUUCUACUCUAAUUGCUGUGCAGUCAUUGAUGAGUCAUUGUUCUUCACAAGCUGGUGAUGAGAAUCUCAGUGAUUAAUGCAGCUCUUCAAGGCUGUGAGGGGUUUCGCCCAAAUGUUAAGAACAUUUUCCACCUACGUUGUCAUCUUAGAGGAAAACAGCAGAGAAAGCUGAGAAGUAUGCACUUGCGCACAGGCCUUU
rnacentral:lncRNA from 1 species